CGACAAGUCUAUUAAGUGCUAUAUAUGGAUGCCUUGGGUAGAAAAGCCGAAGAAGGACGUGAUUGGCUGCGAAAAGCCACGAUAAGAUGCCAGUAAUCGUUAUAGUCGUGGAUGUCCGAAUGGGGAAACCUACUCUGUAUAACAGAGUGCAAAUUUGCGGCAAGCGUGGGAAGUGAAAUAUCUCAGUACCACGAGGAAAAGAAAUCGUAAGAGAUUUCGUUAGUAGAGACGAUCGAACGCGAAACAGUCUAAACUCCUCUAGUGCCAAGAUGCUAGUCGUUGCUAGAGAGAGGGUUGUUGGGAUAUACAUAUUGGCCCUAGCAGGUCAGUGCAGAGUUACCAAAUAAUAUGUUAGAAGAAGACGUUGGGAAGCGUCGCCAUAGAGGGUUAUAGCCCCGUACACGAAAGCAUAUUGUCUCUGUCGUAUACACCCGAGUAGCAUGAGACACGUGAAAUCUUGUGUGAAUCCACCCAGACCACUGGGUAAGACUAAAUACUUUUCUACACCGAUAGUGCAUAGUACCGUGAGGGAACGGUGAAAAGAACCCCAGGAAGGGGAGUGAAAUAGAACCUGAAAUAUAUAGCACACAAUUGAGUGGGAGCCUGACUUCGGUCGGGUUACCACGUACCUAUUGACGAAUGGGUCAGCGAGUUAAUGGUAGUAGCAAGGUUAAGGCAGUUAUAGCCGGAGCCGGAGCGAAAGCGAGUCUGAAUAGGGCGCUUAGUUGCUAUCAUUAGACCCGAAGCGUUAUGAGCUAGGCAUGAGCAGGAUGAAGAGCCGCGAAAGCGGCUUGGAGGUCCGAACCAGUUGGAGCUGCAAGUCCUUUGGAUGACUUGUGCCUAGGAGUGAAAAGCUCAUCGAAUAACGUGAUAGCUGGUUCUCUCCGAAAUAACUUUAGGGUUAGCCUGUCAUAAUGAUCUUAUAGAGGUAGAGCUCUUGUAGGACUAGGGGGAUCGAGAGGUCUUACCAAAUCCUGUUAAACUUCGAAUGCUAUAAGGAAAAUGAUGGAGUUAGGCUGCGGGAGCUAAGUUUCGUGGCCAAAAGGGUAACAGCCCAGAUUCCCGACUAAGGCCCCCAAAUAAUAGCUAAGUGGAAAAGGAUGUAUUCCUGCUAAGACAUCUAGGAGGUUUGCUCAGAAGCAGCAAUCCUUUAAAGAAAGCGUAACAGCUCACUAGACAAGCGGGAGUGCGCCGAAGAUGUAACGGGGCUCAAGCUAUUUGCCGACGUCGGAAGCCUCUAGAUUUAUCUAGAGUGCGGUAGGAGAGUGUUCUAUAUGGGAUGAAGCUGUCGCGUAAGCGUAUGGUGGACUGUAUAGAAGUAAAAAUGCUGACAUAAGUAACGACUAUAAAUGAAAAUUUUAUAUGCCGAAAGCCUAAGGAUUCCUACGCAAUGGUCAUCAUCGUAGGGUUAGGCGGGACCUAAGGUAUACCUGAAAGGGGAAACCGAUGGACAGCCGGUUAAUAUUCCGGCCCCUGUAUCAGAGUGAUGUGGCAACGCAUCGGGACAUGUGCGAGCUUGAUAAGGAUUCAAGUCGUAGUAGUAAGAUUAAUCUGGCGUAAGUCAGUAUGCUUUGCGUAGGCAAAUCCGCGCGGAGCUAAAACGUCGAGCUAUAACGAGACUGCCGUAAGGCAGGAUUUGUAUCGUUCUGGUGCCAAGAAAACCCACUAGCGCUAAUCUGAAUGCAGCCCGUACUGAGAACGGACACACGUGGGCAAGUAGAGUAUACUAAGGCAAUCGAAAAAACCGGUGAUUAAGGAACUUGGCAAAUUAACGGGUGUAACUUCGGGAUAAACCCUGCCCCAUAGCAAUAUGGGGCCGCAGUUAAAGUCGUGGGGGGGACUGUUUACCAAAAACACAGCUUCAUGCUAACACGUAAGUGGACGUAUAUGAGGUGAUGCCUGUCCAGUGCUAGAAUGUUAAGAUCGCUUGUGCAAGCUCGUGAUUUAAGCACUAGUUAACGACGGCCGUAACUAUGACGGUCCUAAGGUAGCGAAAUUCCUUGUCGGGUAAGUUCCGACCCGCAUGAAUGGCAUAACCAUCUCCACACUGUCUUAAUCUCGGAUUCGGUGAAAUUACAAUCCUGGUAAAAAUGCCAGGUAGUUACAGCUAGACGGAAAGACCCUGUGAAGCUUCACUGUAGCUAGGUAUUGUAACGUGGCCUAAACUGCUCAGCAUAAGUGGGAGACUUUGAAGCCGGCCUUUGGGUUCGGUGGAGUCAACAAUGAGAUACCACUCAGUUUAUGUAGCGUUACUAACCCCACGAUGUGGGGGACAGUGCCUGGUGGACAGUUUACCUGGGGCGGGUGCCUCCUAAAAAGUAACGGAGGCGUGCAAAGGUUUGCUUAGUACGGAUGGAAACCGUAUGGAAAGUAUAUUCACACAAGCAAGCUUAACUGUCAGAUUAACAGAUCGAACAGAUAGGAAACUAGGCGAAAGUGAUCCGGAUUUUCCACGUGGAAGGGAAUCCGCUCAACGGAUAAAAGCUACUCCGGGGAUAACAGGCUAAUGGAGUCCAAGAGUCCAUAUCGACGACUCCGUUUGGCACCUCGAUGUCGACUCGUCGCAUCCUGGGGCUGUAGAAGGUCCCAAGGGUUGGGCUGUUCGCCCAUUAAAGCGGGACGCGAGUUGGGUUCAGAACGUCGUGAGACAGUUCGGCCCCUAUCUACUGUAACCGUAGGCAAUUUGAAUAGUGUCGCUUCUAGUACGAGAGGACCGAAGUGAACGAACCUCUGGUGAACCAGUUGUCCAACCAUGGGCACCGCUGGGUAGCUACGUUCGGUAAAGGUAACCGCUGAAAGCAUCUAAGUGGGAAACUAGCUAUAAGAUUAGAUUGCCCAUCUCGUAGCAAUACGAGAGUAAGAUCUCCCAUAGACUAUGGGUUUGAUAGGCACUAUGUAUAAGGACAGCAAUGUCUUCAGCAGAGGUGUACUAAUAGAUCGAGGGGCUUGUUGUU
rnacentral:rRNA from 1 species